ACGGGAGGCAGCAGUAGGGAAUCUUCCGCAAUGGGCGAAAGCCUGACGGAGCGACGCCGCGUGAGCGAAGAAGGCCUUCGGGUCGUAAAGUUCUGUUGUGAGGGACGAAGGGGCGCCGUUCGAAGAGGGCGGCGCGGUGACGGUACCUCACGAGAAAGCCCCGGCUAAUUACGUGCCAGCAGCCGCGGUAAUACGUAGGGGGCGAGCGUUGUCCGGAAUUAUUGGGCGUAAAGCGCGCGCAGGCGGUCCCUUAAGUCUGAUGUGAAAGCCCACGGUUCAACCGUGGAGGGUCAUUGGAAACUGGGGGACUUGAGGGCAGGAGAGGAGAGCGGAAUUCCACGUGUAGCGGUGAAAUGCGUAGAGAUGUGGAGGAACACCAGUGGCGAAGGCGGCUUUCUGGCCUGCACCUGACGCUGAGGCGCGAAAGCGUGGGGAGCAAACAGGAUUAGAUACCCUGGUAGUCCACGCCGUAAACGAUGAGUGUUAAGUGUUAGAGGGGUCACACCCUUUAGUGCUGCAGCUAACGCGAUAAGCACUCCGCCUGGGGAGUACGGCCGCAAGGCUGAAACUCAAAGGAAUUGACGGGGGCCCGCACAAGCGGUGGAGCAUGUGGUUUAAUUGGAAGCAACGCGAAGAACCUUACCAGGUCUUGACAUCCCCUGACAACCCAAGAGAUUGGGCGUUCCCCCUUCGGGGGGACAGGGUGACAGGUGGUGCA
rnacentral:rRNA from 1 species